GAACAAAUGACCUGCACCGUAGCUGCUGCUGUUUGCAUGAGAUGAAGCACAGAUAACCACAUGCUAUUCAGCAUCAAUGGGACGCAUUGCAGAAUCAGUUUGUUGCCACCUGGGUCCUUGGACCCCAUUCUGAAAACCCCUGUUCUAGGUAGCGAUACUCCGAUGUUUUAAAAAAAAAAUGAGUAGACACUAUUUGAGAGCAUGCUCACUGAGACACGCUCGGCUCCCACCAAAUCCAGCCCCCAAAUUUGAACUGGAGGGAGGGGAAGUUACGGCACUGACUCUUGUGUUGUACUCCUCUGUGUCUGUUUGGCUCCCACUCUGCAUGGUUCCCUCUGCAUCUAUGGCUCUGCGGCUGAAAAGGUGAACACGGAUUACACUGGAAAAGAUGGACGACAUUGACAGGAAGCCAUGUGAGAUGAAGGGGAAACAGCAGACAGUCCAUGAAAUCAUUCUCCCACCCAGCUGUUGACAGCUGUGCUGAUGGGCAGCUCCCUUCUCCAGCAGGAGAUGUAGAGAUGAGCUGUGUUUUUCGACAUAUUAAACCGCUGUUUGUUUUGUGAUGAAGCCUCACCAGACAAAGCACUAACUCCCAUUCUUUGAUAUUGGGAAUUCACAGCUGGGAAGUGCUGUUUGGCAGCCAAUAGCAGUAUGAAAAUCCCAUAACCCACUAAUAUGGUUUCUUUUCAUUGCACCCUUUCGCACUUUUUAAUAACUGUUACACAUACUGCAUAUGAAAAGCAUGUUUGCACUCUAAAUCAUUGACUCUUAGGUACUUGUUCUAGCACUUAGAUAAUUACACACAUUUAUCGCCUUAACUUUAUGAGUGUUAUUUUAUGGGCACAAACACUCUUGGUUAGUGGUCAGUUAUAAUGUUUGAUUUGAAUAAAACCAAAUAUCUAUUUCAA